rnacentral:misc_RNA from 1 species
CAGCAACAAAGUGCAGCCAAACUGCACAUAGAAAAAAGGCAACCAUCAGAUCAAAUAUUAAGGGGAAAAAAGAAGAAACCAAUCUAUACUUUCAACAACAUUCUUUUUUGUUCCUAAAGGGUAAGGGUGUAAAUAUGCUGAGCCACUUGCGAGUUAGAUCGAUAAAAAUAGGCUUGACUUGUUUAUUAUAAAAGCUUGACUUAGCUCACUUAUUAAACAAGUCAAACUUGAGUUUCCUUAUACUCAGCUAAACACUCACUAAUAAUCGGCUCAUUUAGAAUUGAAAAUUGACUCAUUUAUACACUCAUAAACUGACUCACAUAACAAGUUCAUGAAUGAGCUCAUUAAAUAGGCUUGUAAUAUGUCUCGCUUAUAAGCUCAUGAUUUGAUUUGUUUACAAACUCUCAAUGGGUUUUGUCCUUUAGGGAGAUCAACCAACUCCCAAACAUGGUUGGACCUCUUAGACUCCAUUCAUCUUCCAUCGCCUUCAAUCAUUUUCCCUUGGUAGGAGAGGACAAAACUUCAUUAAAAUUGCUUGGUUCAUUAUCUUAUGGUAGGUAACCAACAAACUUUUUCCUUCGAUCUUAAAUUUAUGUCAGGAAAUGUUUCCAUUAUUGCUUCGACACAAUUCUGAUUCUUGAGAAACGAAGUCAUUGUCUCCCAAUUGUUCCCACUAGGAUCAGAUGGCCUAGGCACAAGUAAAGGUGCGCUUUGCCUUGGUGGGAUUGGGUCAUCUUGAUCCGCCAUCUCAAAUAGAGACAAAUCCCUAUUUAUUUCCCUUUUGCUAGAAAACUAUUCCUCUAAAAACACAAUUCUAGAUUCAAAUUUGGUAUAUCCUCUUCCUUCGUGUUCUCCAAUGAACAUGUAUCCUUUUAAAUGUUUAGAGUAACAUAUAAACGUACAUUUCUUGCCCCUUGGUCCCAAUUUACCAAGUUUAUCAGAUCUGUUAUGUACAUAUGCAGAACUUCCCCAUGGCUUCAUGUUACUCAAAUCAAGCUUCAGAUUUUUGUCCACACCUCGUGAAGUGGAGGAUAUUGAUUUUGUGAGCACACGAUUUAAAACAUAGGCAACAAUUAAAAGACCAUCGCCCCAAAAGGAAAUAGUCAAUUGGCUUUCGCCAUCAUUGACCUUACCAUAUCAAGAACUCCAUUUCUUUUUUCAGCUACACCAUUUUGUUGUUCUAUACCAGGAAUAGUCAAAUACUCAAACGUCUGUCUAUCCAUUUUUCAUCAUAUAAGUGUCUAAAUUGGUCAGUUCUUAAAACUUUGACCCUUUGAUUUAAUUAAUUCUUAACAAGGUUCAAGAACCUCGGAAAACAAUCAAACGCACUGAAUUUGUGAGAUAUUAAAUACACAAAACCAAAAUGAGUCUAAUCAUCAAUAAAAGUAAUGAAAUAAUUUGCUCGAUGUAUUGCCCUUACAUUCAUUGAACCAUAAAUAUCUAAAUGUAUUAAUUGCAAUGAAAAUUCAACCCUAGUACCUUUUCCAAAUGGCUUUCUGGCCAUCUUCCCAACUAAGUAAUGUUCACAAACAUUGAGUUCUACCCUAUCAAAUGGCCUUAAGGCUUUGUUUGGAUGGGAUGAAGGAA